AUCCAGAAGAGUUUUUCAGCUCAAUGCCAUGAUGUAUAAAUACCCGCCCUCUACAUCUGGCACAUUUGAACGAGAUGUCGGAGAAACAGCACAAGACAGAAAGAGAGCCACUGGUACCUGAGUCAAGAAGUGGAAACACCUGUCUUUCCCACAGGCCUUGAAUGCAGCAGUAAAGGAGGGCGUGGCCAACCUGGCACAACCAGGAAGGUGCAGCAGAGUGGGCGGAUGAAGGGCCUCCACCCUGCAGCAGAGCUUCAGCAGCAGCAGAGAGACACGGUCGACCCCCAGCUCACCUGAACAGUUCAACCAUGAGGUGGCGCUCUCCUCCUCUUCCUCUCCUCUUCCUCUUCUCCCUCCUCACCCUGUUGGUCGAUGGAGCAGCAGCUUCAGAUUUCAAGAUCUGCGCCUACAAUGUGCAGAAAUUCAACUCCGCGAAAGCAUCAAACACCAGAGUGCGACACACUCUG